rnacentral:lncRNA from 1 species
CCGCAGCCCUGGGCGGCCCAACUGCAGGUGAUGAAGUCCCUGUGCGCUGAAUCAUUAUGUAUCCACUCCCUACGCUUAUUAACCACACCUCGUCUCGCAAGUCGGCCCGCUGAUGCGCGAUUUAGUCUGUGGGGCAUCACCUUGCAAGCUUCAGCUAGUAAUUGACAGGGCUCUGCUGUCGCAAGCUAUCGAAAGCUCGCAAAGGGUUGCCACAGAAGCAAAAUGUGCCAGACUGUUCACAGCAAACGCCAUGCUAG